AAAGAAGUAAAACCAUCACAGCUGAAAUAUUAAUCAAAUACAUUGAGAACUACAAUAGAUUGAAAUGCGGAACAGAUACAAGAAAAAGAGUGGCUAUUUUGUACUUUCAAAAGUUUUAAAAUUGUUUGAAGACAUAUUCAAGUGAGUAAAGAAAAAGAUGAAAUACAUUUGUCAAAAUGUAAAAUGUGAAUUCCAACACUUCAGCAGUAUAGAUAGUCAAUUAUUU
rnacentral:misc_RNA from 1 species